CCUACGGGGGGCAGCAGUGAGGAAUAUUGGUCAAUGGACGAGAGUCUGAACCAGCCAAGUAGCGUGAAGGAUGACUGCCCUAUGGGUUGUAAACUUCUUUUAUAUGGGAAUAAAAUGUUCCACGUGUGGGAUUUUGUAUGUACCAUAUGAAUAAGGAUCGGCUAACUCCGUGCCAGCAGCCGCGGUAAUACGGAGGAUCCGAGCGUUAUCCGGAUUUAUUGGGUUUAAAGGGAGCGUAGGUGGAUUGUUAAGUCAGUUGUGAAAGUUUGCGGCUCAACCGUGAAACUGCAGUUGAAACUGGCAGACUAGAGUACAGUAGAGGUGGGCGGAAGUCGUGGUGUAGCGGUGAAAUGCUUAGAUAUCACGAAGAACUCCGAUUGCGAAGGCAGUUCACUGGACUGCAACUGACACUGAGGCUCGAAAGUGUGGGUAUCAAACAGGAUUAGAUACCCCUGUAGUC
rnacentral:rRNA from 1 species